CUAACAACCCACUUUGCUUAUUGUCAAAAUAUUGCGAUUUUUCGGUUCAUGUGGUCAAAUGUGGUUGCAGAGUUAUCGGAAAACAUUUCGUUUUUGAAAUAGAAAAUUAAAGUGCAGGUAUUCUCAUCAUGCCUCCGCAAAGAAGCCAAAAAGCAAGAAACAGAAGGUGUGAGAAGUUACAAAAACUACUCAGAGGACAUGCUGUUAUUGGCUGUGGAUUUAGUUAAAAUCAAAAAGACAACCUUUUUUGACGCUGGAAAAGAAUUCGGCAUACCAAGACGUACAAUAGAAAAAAAGAGUACAAAAUCUUCACAGCAAUAAACCCGAUCCGCGCUUUCGUUUAUCUCCGGAAGAAGAACUGAAAUUCGUAAAAGUACUCAUAGCAGCGGGUGACUUUGGGUGUCCACUAUCACAACUAGACAUAAAAUUAGCGGUUGAUUAUUAUUUAAAAAAAAAAAACAUAGGUACAUAUUUAACGAUAAAGUUCUUGGUGACUGGUGGGUAAGAAAUUUUGCAGAGCGACACAAGGACCAAUUAACGCUAAGAUCUACCCAAAAUAUCACAAAAGCGCGUGCGGAAAAAACAUUAGAG
rnacentral:lncRNA from 1 species